rnacentral:rRNA from 16 species
CUAAGGAACUCGGCAAAAUAACUCCGUAACUUCGGGAGAAGGAGUAGCUUUUUCAGGGCAACCUGUUAAAGCUGUCACAAAAUCAAGGACAGCGACUGGUUAAUAAAACCACAGGUCUCUGCAAAAUUGUAAAAUGAAGUAUAGAGACUGACGUCUGCCCGGUGCUGCAAGUAUAAUAGAAAAAGUUGAGGCUUUGACUAGAAACCCCAGUAAACGGCGGCUGUAACUCUGACGGUCCAAAGGUAGCGAAAUUCCUUGGCAUUUAAUUGGUGUCCUGCAUGAAUGACGUAACGACUGUCCUACUGUCUCCAACAUAAUCUCAGUGAAAUUGAAAUCUCCGUGAAGAUGCGGAGUUCUUACGGCUAGACGGAAAGACCCCGUGCACCUUUACUAUAGUUACAUAUUGUAAUAAAAGUUUUUAUGUGUAGCAUAAGUGGGAAGUUAUUAUUGUUAGAUAUUUACGCAAGUAAAUAAUUUAAACGUUUGUGAAAUACCACUCUUAAAUUUUUUUAUUACUCAUUUUUUAAGACAGUGUGUAAUGGGUAGUUUGACUGGGGCGGUCGCCUC